CGGCGCUUCCCGGCUUCCGUCCCAGCGGCCUCUGGACGCCCUCUACGGUGGCCGCGAGGAGUUACGCACGCGCGGAGGGUGGUGGUGGCGGCGGACGUCCGAGCUGCCUGCCGCUCUUCCGGACUCCUCCGGCGGGGUUUCCUGACCGGGCACGCGGCCCUGGGCCAUUCUUAGGGGCUGAAGACGCCGCCACCCUCUUGCGCCAGCCCCCGCGAUCCCUGGGUGACCGGGCUGGAGCUGUGUGGUGGAAGUACUGUGGCUGCAGCAGAGUGGGGUUUAAGAGCAGCGCUGCGGGAGCCUGUUUAGAGCUACCUAUGAUGCAACUCGCUUCAUACCAACGAGGAAAUACAACACUCUCCUCAGUUCUGUGAAUGUGGGAGGUUGCAUAAUGUGGCUCUGCCAGGUGACACAGCCUGACGCCACUACCCAGGGAUUGAGAAGCACCAGCUUGUGAUCAAAACAUUCUCAUGAGCACCAGCUUGUGAUCAAAACAGUAUCUGCAAUGUGAUCAUUAUGUAUACCUAAAAUGUACCAAUAAACUUAAUUUAAAGAAUUAA